CGCAUAACCAAAUACGGCUGUGGGUCUUUUCCUUACUUUCUUCAGUCCUACAAUGCUCUUAGGAUGGUGGGAUUCUGAGAGAGCCUCUCAUGGAAAUGAAGAGGUAGGAGGUUCACUGCAAUUUCCUUGCUCUCUCCCCUGGAAGCAUGUGCAAUUUCACCACUGAGGAAAAGGUUAAGGACACCAGCCUAGCCUGGACAGGCAGACUGGUCGCUCCUGACACUUCAGUGCUCACCGGGAAGAAACAGAAGAUACUGUAGAAAAUGACUGGACGCUGACCCUUCUGCCAAGGGAAAUGAA